ensembl:lncRNA
AGUCCCAUGCGACUGAGCCACUAAUUUCAAUAAAGGAAGAAGUGGGUGAAGAUGUGCAAUUGGAUGGCUCCUCUGAAAACUGUCCUGACCCAAAACAGCCCUUGCUCUCCUGCUUUAUGUCCUACCAUUGGAGUCAUCCCACUUUAUUAUCUAGCAAAGCUCUGGGGCCUGGUGUGCUGCAGUCCAUGAGGUCACAAAGAGUCAGAUAUGACUUAGCAAGUGACCACCACCACCAACAACAACACUAAGUUGGCAUCAGCACCAAGGAGCAUAUGCCCGGUUUGAAAAGAACAUGAUGAGCUGAAUUGAGAAGUGGCUUAAGUUGGGAGGGAGCCAUGAUCUGGGUCAGAAGAAGUGUUUGCAGAAACUGAGGGUAAUUGCCACAAAGGGGAGGGGGCUGAGAGUCAAGGAUGACAGCUGCCUUCAGAUGUCAGAAAGAGAACCUGAAAC